rnacentral:lncRNA from 1 species
ACACAAUUGUUAGUUGAGCAGCAAAUGUAAUCACCCUUCCUCUGAAGCACUGGGUCAGAUAGAGCCGGAAGGGCAAAGCAGGACCUGCCAUGGGCUGAAAAUGUCAAUGUAUUCACUCAACUUCUCUUUACAGACAGCUUUGGCCCAACACUGGCUAAAUGCCCCACUCUCUGCAUGGACAGCUGGUAUUGCUCAGAAGGGGUAACGAGAGAACAACUCUACAGAAAUGCCAAACCUUUAUAUAGGCUCUGAGAGACACUCGGAAAACUGGAAAGAGCACUAGACUUAGAUACAGAGGGCUUGGGUGUAAUUUCUUGCUCAAUGACUAAUGGGCUCAAUGACUUUAGUUUCCUGACCUGCUUGAAUCUCAGUGCCUUUCCCCAUCUGUAAAGAUUAGAUACCUGCUACCAUUCCUUCCAACUCCUGUGUUCCAUAAUUCCCCCACAAAUCCAUAAACUAAGUAGGUUAAGGUUCUUAUCAAUGGAGAGGAGUGUGGAAAGAGCAGGAAUUGACACAUUUGGCCUGUCUUGCAUAGUUAGUACCCACAGAAACGAAUUCUAACAGUGUACUCCCUGUUCCUGGCAACACUGUGGGUGACAAGAAAAGACCAAAUACAUUGGAUGAUCCCUAAAGAACCAAAAAGCAGCAAAGAGAAGUACCAAUCCAGGCAAGUAGUUGUCUUCGAUAAAAAAGUGCAACGGAAUGGAGACAUGCCCCUACACUGCACUUUCACUUCAGAUUCACAAUGUCACUGCAGAAGGAAACAAUCAACCCUGACAGGGAAACAAUAGCACUGGAAGACCAGGACUCUCCAGAGAAGGCUAAGGAGAGAGUGGAACGAAUACUCACUAACUGGCCUUUUGUUUGCCACAAUUUCUAUUAGUCAUGGAAAAAAACAGACAUGGUUGACAAGCGCCCAGAUAGGUUAUUGAGGAGGUAAAAGGUCACUGAGAGUCUCAGUGAGGAGAAACCUUAGGAACUGAUGCAUUUCUUGUACUUUGAGCACAAUGUUCAAAAUAACAUGCAGAGAAGCUUACCGAAUGUAUCAGAGCAGUGAAAACACAUCAGAGACUGCGUUCAAACUCAGUUUUUCUGCCUACCAGUAGCUUUUGCAGUGGGUGAGUUUUACUAAGCAAGUAAAAACACUCCUUGUGGCUGGAUGGACAGGAUGAAGUAGAUGAAAGGCAUUGAAAUGGACAGAGGAGUAAAGAAUCUGUCAAAAGAGUCAGCACCCUUGCCAUUGAAAAUCAGAAUGGAAGAUGGGUGACCCCAGCCUUAUAUCUUAUGGCAACUGUUCUACUGGCCAAGUGAGCAAGAAAACAUUCACUCUCUCUAGAUCUCAAUUUCCCCAGCUCUAAUAAACAAUUAGCAAGAUGAUCUCCAAAAUCUCCUCCCAUGACAAUAAUUUAUGUUCUGUAAUGGUAUGACUUCUCUCGAGUGCCCU